GAUGAACGCUGGCGGCGUGCCUAACACAUGCAAGUCGAGCGAAGCGCUUAAAUUAGAUUUCUUCGGAAUGACGAUUUUUGUGACUGAGCGGCGGACGGGUGAGUAACGCGUGGGUAACCUGCCUCAUACAGGGGGAUAACAGUUAGAAAUGACUGCUAAUACCGCAUAAGACCCCAGCUUCGCAUGAAGCGGUGGUAAAAACUCCGGUGGUAAGAGAUGGACCCGCGUCUGAUUAGCUAGUUGGUAAGGUAACGGCUUACCAAGGCGACGAUCAGUAGCCGACCUGAGAGGGUGACCGGCCACAUUGGGACUGAGACACGGCCCAGACUCCUACGGGAGGCAGCAGUGGGGAAUAUUGCACAAUGGGGGAAACCCUGAUGCAGCGACGCCGCGUGAAGGAUGAAGUAUUUCGGUAUGUAAACUUCUAUCAGCAGGGAAGAAAGUGACGGUACCUGACUAAGAAGCCCCGGCUAACUACGUG
rnacentral:rRNA from 1 species